rnacentral:misc_RNA from 1 species
UACAGAGGUGGCAAGCGUUGUUCGGUAUCACUGGGCUUAAAGGGCGCGUAGGCGGCGCAGUACGGUCUGGGUGAAAUCCCUCGGCUCAACCGAGGAAUUGCCUGGGCAACGGCUGUGCUUGACAGCAUCAGGGGAAGGUGGAACUCCCGGUGGAGCGGUGAAAUGCGUAGAUAUCGGGAGGAACGCCGGUGGCGAAAGCGACCUUCUGGGGUGCUUGUGACGCUGAGGCGCGAAAGCCAGGGUAGCGAAGAGG